UGACAAUGUCACUAGUUAACCCAUUGAGCCACAAUGUGCCCCAGUGCGCCCUACUUUUUUUUACUUGUCUAACACCAGACGAUUUAUUCGUCAAUGGGGAAGCUCUGCAGCUUAAUGGGUUAAAUUAACCAAAAAAUCUGACAAUGUCUCUAGUUAAACAUUUAAAUGUUGGUGUACAGUACUAGUUUGAAAAAAGCCUGGCAUCAACUUGGUGAGUGUUGUCAAAUGCAUUAGUAAAUUAAUACACAUAUCACUACUGUACAUAUUUAAUUUUUAAAGGAG